AGCAUGUGGUUUAAUUCGAAGCAACGCGAAGAACCUUACCAGGUCUUGACAUCCCGAUGCUAUUUCUAGAGAUAGAAAGUUACUUCGGUACAUCGGUGACAGGUGGUGCAUGGUUGUCGUCAGCUCGUGUCGUGAGAUGUUGGGUUAAGUCCCGCAACGAGCGCAACCCCCUAUUGUUAGUUGCCAUCAUUCAGUUGGGCACUCUAGCGAGACUGCCGGUAAUAAACCGGAGGAAGGUGGGGAUGACGUCAAAUCAUCAUGCCCCUUAUGACCUGGGCUACACACGUGCUACAAUGGUUGGUACAACGAGUUGCGAGUCGGUGACGGCGAGCUAAUCUCUUAAAGCCAAUCUCAGUUCGGAUUGUAGGCUGCAACUCGCCUACAUGAAGUCGGAAUCGCUAGUAAUCGCGGAUCAGCACGCCGCGGUGAAUACGUUCCCGGGCCUU
rnacentral:rRNA from 1 species